ensembl:lncRNA
GAUAUCUACAGCUAUAUAUUAUAUCUACAAAGAUGGUUUGGAAGUUUCAAGAGAACACCAGAUUACCAGAGGACCACCUGAUUACCAAAUAUAUUCUUCCCUUCCUCAGUGUGUCUUAAAAGACCUAUUUUCUCCUGAUGAUCAAGAACAAUUACAUCGGCCUGGAUGGUUGCUUCUUUCCUGUCCAGCUGGUCACUUGGCCAAAGGAACCUGGAGUGGUGGCAAUUGUACCUUCAUGGGAUUUUGCUGUUUUCUUGGUAGAAGUAUUUCUCUUCUAGGACUCUCUGCUUCUAAAAUGCAUUUUCCAGAUUUGACGGUUGAAAAACAAAUUUUCUAGGCAGUCUAUAGGAGUGGUGUAAGAAUUUUCUAGAAACUUUAUUCUAAUUAACUGAUUGACUCCAGCUGUUUUCAAUCUGGGGUUCACUAAUUUGUUGUAAUUAAUACAAAAAUUAUGAUUUUAAUAC